rnacentral:rRNA from 1 species
GUGAGACAGGUCGGUMCCUAUCUGCCGUGGGCGCUGGGGAACUGAGGGGGGCUGCUCCUAGUACGAGAGGACCGGAGUGGACGCAUCACUGGUGUUCGGGUUGUCAUGCCAAUGGCACUGCCCGGUAGCUAAAUGCGGAAGAGAUAAGUGCUGAAAGCAUCUAAGCACGAAACUUGCCCCGAGAUGAGUUCUCCCUGACUCCUUGAGAGUCCUGAAGGAACGUUGAAGACGACGACGUUGAUAGGCCGGGUGUGUAAGCGCAGCGAUGCGUUGAGCUAACCGGUACUAAUGAACCGUGAGGCUUAACCUUACAACGCCGAAG